UACGUAGGGCGCAAGCGUUAUCCGGAAUUAUUGGGCGUAAAGGGCGCGUAGGCGGCUUGGCAAGUGGAAGGUGAAAUCCCUCGGCUUAACCGAGGAACUGCCCUCCAAACUGCUUCGCUUGAGACCGGGAGAGGUGAGUGGAAUUCCCAGUGUAGCGGUGAAAUGCGUAGAUAUUGGGAGGAACACCAGUGGCGAAGGCGGCUCACUGGACCGGUACUGACGCUGAGGCGCGAAAGCGUGGGGAGCAAACGGG
rnacentral:rRNA from 1 species